CCAGAAUCCACUAUCCUCCAUGGAGACAGACACCGUCAAGGACAAGCACCUGAACUAUCUCCUCCCGCAAAGAGAUAAGGGCUGGUGGGAAAGCUGCUGACCAGCAAGGUCAUGAGCUCCCUCCUCUCUCCAAGUGUCUCAAGGCCGAAGACAGGCUGGUGGGAAAGCUCCGACCAGCAAGGCCAUAUGCUCCCCCUCCCCUACCUAAAACCCCAAAUAAAAACCCUUCCUUUUAGCUUUUCGGGGAGUUUGGAAUUUCAGCAUUAGCUGCCCUCUCUACUUGCUCAGGGCUGUGCAAAAAUAAAAUUCCUACUUUCUUCCACCACCCCCGGUGUCAGAGAUUGGCUUGCUGCGCAACGGAUAAGGAGAGGUUUUCUUCAAAAGGACCAUCGUAAUAAGGGGAGGUGGAUACUGCAGUAGAGGAAGAGUGAGACUGUGAGAUCUGUGUCUCAAAGAUGAGGCAGAAGGAAGUUCCUCUCAUGCGGAGAAGUAAAGAAGGCUAGAAAGGACUGCAUGUGGGAAGGGGGUUGAGCAGACGACACGAUCAAGCCACUGAACAGACAAUAUUCUUCUCUGUAGACAGCCUGCCGCUGAGGACUUCUGCAGGGACUGCCCUGGGGGAAAGGAGCUGCCUCACCCACAGUUCUCGGGAAUCCCACGCCAGACGCUGGGGCAGAAAGACCCAACCCCUCCACUCCAGCCUCACCUCAACUUGGACAUUUCUGCAGCUACCUCUCAGCUCCACAGCUCUCCAUGGAACUGCUGAGGCCUCAGGAGUAACUGCCUCACAGCUCAGUUUCUCCCUCUGCCCAAUCCUGCCUGCCUCCCUUGUGAGUGUUGAUCCCAGGAGCAGUCCUCAGUCAACUUCCUGCCACAAAUCUCUACAUCAUGGUCUAUUUGCUGGGAGCCCAACCGAAAAGUCAAGUGUAGAUUUCCAUCAGGCACAUGCCAGGGGUGGCAUGGGGUGCCACGUCUGCAUGAGGCCAUCUCUAGUAGCCGCUGUGGCAGAGGUAGAGCCAGGCCUGAGUCCCAGGUUGGCCCCAACACACCUGCGGCCUGAGCAGAGUCUCUCGACUGUUGUAAGCCUCUGUAUCUUCACAGUGAAACAGAACAGAAGCUCGCCAGCAAUGACUGACGAUCCCAGCAGUUGAUGCCUGUUGACCAGCAGUCCUGAUUGCUGUGUGAAACAGUUGACUGCACCAUCCAGAGUGCACAUGGGUCAGAUCCUCUCACCACUUCCUACUUGACUUUAGCCCUUUCCUGUCCCAGUUUCCUCAUCUGUAAACUGGAGCUAAUAAUAGGAUUUACUUUCUAAGACUGGUGAGGGGUAAGUGGGAUGACCCAAGUAAAUGGAGAUGGUAAAGAAGUGUGAGGAGGGGGCUGGCCCCGUGGCCGAGUGGUUAAGUUCACAUGCUCCACUUCAGUGGCCAAGGGUUCACAGGUUCAGAUCCUGGGCGAGGACCUGCACACCGCUCAUCAGGCCACACAGAGGUGGCAUCACACGUAGCAGAGCUAGAACAACUUACAACUGGGAUAUACAACUAUGUACGGGGUCUUUGGGGGAAAGGAAAAAAAAGAAAAAGAAAAGAAGAGGAAGACUGGCAAUAGAUGUUAGCUCAGGGCGGAUCUUAAAAAAAAAUGUGAGGAAAUCAGGUGGGCCUAUUGAGUCCUCGGUAAAGGGUGGCCUUUAUCAGGGCCUAAGGUGUCUCCCUGGACCUGGAGGGCCUCAGAAAGGCAAACUGCCCCCUUAAAUCAGGCCAUAUCUGGAUGGACACCUGGAUACACCUGUGACAAUUAAUAAACAGAAACCUCAUUAAACAGAGUCAGGAGGCCAGAAAGGGGAACUCUGGUGCUCCACAUCAUAGCAAAGCAGAACCCAACAGGAAGCAGAAAGACUUCCUCUUCUUGACCGGCAAGAAACUCAGCCAAUGAAAAGCCACUGCACCUUGUUCAACAAACUCUUUGUUCGCAAUAGCCCUCCCAACUUCCUCUUCUCCUCUAUGAAAGAGGUUCUCCUCCUUUUGCUGCUCCAGGAUUUGCAUGUGGUAUGCCAUGGUUGCAGACUCUGAAUUGCAAUUCUUUCCUGAUCCCAAUUAAACCUAUUUUUGGUGGAAAACAACUGGCUUUCCAUUUGUUUAAGGUCUACAUUUUGGUGGUCCAUUUAGGGAUCCAGAGAAUACCCCUGAUGCCUCUGAGGCUGGCGAGCAAACAGGUGUGGCCCCACAAUGGAGCCCAUUGAGCACGCUGCUUUUCUCACGACCCUGGAGUUGGAGGGUGAGUCUGUCUCCAGGACCUGAGCUUCCACCCUCUUUGCAUUUCAGGCCCUCCGGGCUUCAUUCAAGGUCUAUUUUAAGGCUUCCUCCUUUUCUGGUUAAGGUCUAAUUUGUCUGUGAGUACUCAGGUGGCACUUCAGCCUGAUUCUGAAUCAGGUAGUUGCUUCGAACUGCUCUAGCCUUUCGUCUGAUUCCUUUCGGAGCUAGACCAUUUCUCCUGAAACUGUGCUAGGCUUCAGUCUAACAUUCAGACCGUUCAUUGGACCUGUGCUGGUCCAGCUUCGAUCUGAUCCCUUGGGAGCAGACUGUUCCUUGGGACUGUAUUGAUCAACCUCAGUCUGAUUUCAUUUGCAACCAAACUGUUCUUUGGAACUGCGUUGAUUCGACCGCUCGCUGGGAGACAAAAGCCUGUCGUCAAGAGGCAAGAUGGUGGCAGAGAAAGGGCAUUUUAUUACAGCUUGCUAGCAAGAGGGAAGAUGGCCAACUAAUGUCCAAAAGAGCCAUCUUAAGGGGGCACAGAAUCUGGAAGCACUUACAUAGGCCAGUGGGUUACAGGGAAGGGGUUAGGAAUGUUGACCCGGGAGUCACCACACCAGCUCUUUCAGUUGUCAUUGAUGAUGGUUGUCAGCACAGACUCUCUGUUUGGGGGUCAUCACAUUCCUAAAGAACUCAAAAAAUGAAAUCAUUGUCUUAUCGCAAACGUCUUGUCUACAGAGCAGGUCGAUCUCCUGGAGGGUGCAAAUCCAACCCGGCUAGUUAGUCAGAGGUCAUUCAAAAUUAAGACAUGGUCUCUUUUCUACAAUAUGGCUUCCCUUAUAUCAGUCUUGUGUUGAGCCGGUUUCAAGUCCACCUUAAUAAAAUCAGACUUUCUAUUGGGACUUGUUGGUAUUAAGCCUGCAGGCUGUUUGAGCUGUUUGAGAAUAAUUCCUUUGUUCUAGAGAAAAACCUCUAAUAAAUGGGAUCCCAGUUAUCUAAAUAUUUUGAGAACCCCCACCACAGGGACCUGGCCGAUUUUAUGUUUAAAAACCUCAAUCCUUCCUAAUGGAAAAAAUCCUUUAUUUCUAACUAAAUAAACCAAAUUAACCAAAAGUAAUUUAGAAUAUCAAUGGCCAUUAUGGGGAACUUUUGAACUCCCCAAACAUACUUUUCUCAAAACCACAUUGGACAGCCAUAACUCUGAAAUUUCCGAAACUGAGUGGAACAACUACUUCACUUGGUAUUUGGAGGCUUCCAAACAUUAUCAGGAGCCUAAAAUUGCCUCUUUGUAAAAUAAAUUUUAAGAUUAACUGAGGCAAACAGACGACUAAAGAGAGAUAAAAUGGCUUCUGAAGCUUCAUGGUGCUCCUCCCUGGCUUCUUGGUAUCGCCGCCUCCAGCACCAUCCUCCUCCUUCCCUCCUGUACUGAAUCGGGGGUAGUCACUCACGCCACCUCUCUAGCUGAACUUCCCCCUUUCCCUGAUCCUCUCCCCACUCCCUCUUCCUCUGAACCCAUCAGAACCUGUCCCUUCAUAUCCUUCUGAGGAACCAAAAGUAAACCCUUAAUUUCUUAUAUUCCCUGGACUAAAGCUGAACUGUGAGCCAGAAUUGGCUGGACCUGACCUUCCACUCACUUAAAG
ensembl:lncRNA